UACGUAGGCAGCAAGCGUUGUUCGGAGUUACUGGGCGUAAAGGGUGUGUAGGCGGUUAUUUAAGUUUGGUGUGAAAUCUCCCGGCUCAACUGGGAGGGUGCGCCGAAUACUGAAUAACUUCGAGUGCGGGAGAGGAAAGUGGAAUUCCUGGUGUAGCGGUGAAAUGCGUAGAUAUCAGGAGGAACACCGGUGGUGUAGACGGCUUUCUGGACCGUAACUGACGCUGAGACACGAAAGCGUGGGUAGCAAACAGG
rnacentral:rRNA from 1 species